AACCGCACGGGAUAAUCAUUUUCCCGUGCGUUCGGGUUAAGUGGACCGCACGGGAUAAUCGAUUAUCCUGUACGGUC
rnacentral:pre_miRNA from 14 species